rnacentral:rRNA from 1 species
CCUACGGGAGGCAGCAGUGAGGAAUCUUGGUCAAUGGACGAGAGUCUGAACCAGCCAAGUAGCGUGAAUGAUGACUGCCCUAUGGGUUGUAAACUUCUUUUAUAUGGGAAUAAAACGUUCCGAGUGUGGGUUUUUGUAUGUACGAUAUGAAUAAGGAACGGCUAACUACGUGACAGCAGCCGCGGUAAUACGGAGGAUCCGAGCGUUAUCCGGAUUUAUUGGGUUUAAAGGGAGCGUAGGUGGAUUGUUAAGUCAGUUGUGAAAGUUUGCGGCUCAACCGUAAAAGUGCAGUUGAAACUGACAGUCUUGAGUACAGUAGAGGAGAGCGGAAUUCGAGGUGUAGCGGUGAAAUGCUUAGAUAUCACGAAGAACUCCGAUUGCGAAGGCAGCUCACUGGACUGCAACUGACACUGAGGCUCGAAAGUGUGGGUAUCAAACAGGAUUAGAUACCCUUGUAGUC